UCUUUGUCUUUGUUUAAAGUUUGACUAAGAGAUAAGCUUUAUGCAUGUACUGUCAAGUACGUUUCACUUUAUUCCAAAAUAAUUGACAAAUACUCAGUCAAGCAAUGUACUAAGUUUAAAAAUUAUCAUUCAAUUUGUACAAUGAAGUUGAAGAUGUAUAAAGAAAUGUUAUACACAUUUUUUCCAGACAAAACCCCCCCAUAAGGAUGACAAUGUACUUGGACAAGAUUCUAAGACCUUUUUGAAAGAAAUAUGAAUAGGGGACUUCUAUAGCAGAAGAAGUAUAGCCAAACUUGCAGAAAACAACAACCGAAUGACUGCAUCACUAAAGAAAAGAAACAGGAUUUCUCCAAAUGUAGAAAUGCAGACAGCUCUUCACCAUCAACUGUGAUCCUUUGUAAUUUUGUGUACAUAUGAAACUAAAUGACUGCAAAGAAAUGUUUUUUGUUGUUCUUAGGUUGUUGUAUGCAUACUUCA